UCUAAACGACUCUCGGCAACGGAUAUCUCGGCUCUCGCAUCGAUGAAGAACGUAGCGAAAUGCGAUACUUGGUGUGAAUUGCAGAAUCCCGUGAACCAUCGAGUCUUUGAACGCAAGUUGCGCCCGAAGCCUUCUGGCUGAGGGCACGCCUGCCUGGGCGUCACG
rnacentral:rRNA from 1 species